GACGAACGCUGGCGGCGUGCUUAACACAUGCAAGUCGAACGGAAAGGCCCUGCUUUUGUGGGGUGCUCGAGUGGCGAACGGGUGAGUAACACGUGAGUAACCUGCCCUUGACUUUGGGAUAACUUCAGGAAACUGGGGCUAAUACCGGAUAGGAGCUCCUGCUGCAUGGUGGGGGUUGGAAAGUUUCGGCGGUUGGGGAUGGACUCGCGGCUUAUCAGCUUGUUGGUGGGGUAGUGGCUUACCAAGGCUUUGACGGGUAGCCGGCCUGAGAGGGUGACCGGCCACAUUGGGACUGAGAUACGGCCCAGACUCCUACGGGAGGCAGCAGUGGGGAAUAUUGCACAAUGGGCGGAAGCCUGAUGCAGCAACGCCGCGUGCGGGAUGACGGCCUUCGGGUUGUAAACCGCUUUCGCCUGUGACGAAGCGUGAGUGACGGUAAUGGGUAAAGAAGCACCGGCUAACUACGUGCCAGCAGCCGCGGUGAUACGUAGGGUGCGAGCGUUGUCCGGAUUUAUUGGGCGUAAAGGGCUCGUAGGUGGUUGAUCGCGUCGGAAGUGUAAUCUUGGGGCUUAACCCUGAGCGUGCUUUCGAUACGGGUUGACUUGAGGAAGGUAGGGGAGAAUGGAAUUCCUGGUGGAGCGGUGGAAUGCGCAGAUAUCAGGAGGAACACCAGUGGCGAAGGCGGUUCUCUGGGCCUUUCCUGACGCUGAGGAGCGAAAGCGUGGGGAGCGAACAGGCUUAGAUACCCUGGUAGUCCACGCUGUAAACGGUGGGUACUAGGUGUGGGGUCCAUUCCACGGGUUCCGUGCCGUAGCUAACGCUUUAAGUACCCCGCCUGGGGAGUACGGCCGCAAGGCUAAAACUCAAAGGAAUUGACGGGGCCCCGCACAAGCGGCGGAGCAUGCGGAUUAAUUCGAUGCAACGCGUAGAACCUUACCUGGGUUUGACAUGGAUCGGGAGUGCUCAGAGAUGGGUGUGCCUCUUUUGGGGUCGGUUCACAGGUGGUGCAUGGCUGUCGUCAGCUCGUGUCGUGAGAUGUUGGGUUAAGUCCCGCAACGAGCGCAACCCUUGUUCACUGUUGCCAGCACGUUAUGGUGGGGACUCAGUGGAGACCGCCGGGGUCAACUCGGAGGAAGGUGGGGAUGACGUCAAGUCAUCAUGCCCCUUAUGUCCAGGGCUUCACGCAUGCUACAAUGGCUGGUACAGAGAGUGGCGAGCCUGUGAGGGUGAGCGAAUCUCGGAAAGCCGGUCUCAGUUCGGAUUGGGGUCUGCAACUCGACCUCAUGAAGUCGGAGUCGCUAGUAAUCGCAGAUCAGCAACGCUGCGGUGAAUAAAUUCCCGGG
rnacentral:rRNA from 1 species